UACGAAGGGGGCUAGCGUUGUUCGGAAUUACUGGGCGUAAAGCGCACGUAGGCGGAUUGUUAAGUCGGGGGUGAAAUCCUGAGGCUCAACCUCAGAACUGCCUUCGAUACUGGAAAGCUCGAGUCCGGGAGAGGUGAGUGGAACUGCGAGUGUAGAGGUGAAAUUCGUAGAUAUUCGCAAGAACACCAGUGGCGAAGGCGGCUCACUGGCCCGGUACUGACGCUGAGGUGCGAAAGCGUGGGGAGCAAACAGG
rnacentral:rRNA from 1 species